rnacentral:rRNA from 1 species
GGAGUUUGGUCCGUGUCUCAGUACCAAUGUGGGGGACCUUCCUCUCAGAACCCCUACUGAUCGUUGCCUCGGUGGGCCGUUACCCCGCCGACAAGCUAAUCAGACGCAUCCCCAUCCCACAGCGAUAAAUCUUUCCUCCUCAUUAGAUGCCCGCAAAGGAGAACAUAGGGCAUUAAUCCGACUUUCGCCGGGCUAUUCCCUACUGAGGGCCAGGUUGGAUACGCGUUACUCACCCGUGCGCCGGUCGCCAUCAGAGUCAGCAAGCUGACUCCAUGCUGCCCCUCGACUUGCAUGUGUUAAGCCUGUAGCUAGCGUUCAUC